GUCUGUGGCCAUACCACCCUGAACACACCCGAGCUUGUCUGAUCUCGGGAGCUAAGCAGGAUCGGGCCUGGUUAGUAACUUGGACGGGAGAAAACUGAGAAAUGUUACACAUA
ensembl:rRNA 5S_rRNA 5S ribosomal RNA